rnacentral:rRNA from 1 species
GCUAUUGGAAGUUUGAUCCUGGCUCAGGACGAACGCUGACGGUGUGCUUUAGGCAUGCAAGUCGAACGAGAAAGCCCUUCGGGGUGAGUAGAGUGGCGAACGGGUGAGUAACACGUGGGCAACCUGCCCCUCGCAGGGGGAUAACCGGAGGAAACUCCGGCUAAUACCCCGUAAGCUUUCAGGGUCGCAUGGCCCUGAAAGGAAAGGUAGCUUCGGCCAUCCGGCGAGGGAUGGGCCCGCGGUGCAUUAGCUAGUUGGUGGGGUAAAGGCCCACCAAGGCGACGAUGCGUAGCUGGUCUGAGAGGAUGAUCAGCCACACUGGGACUGAGACACGGCCCAGACUCCUACGGGAGGCAGCAGCCAGGAAUCUUGGGCAAUGGGCGAAAGCCUGACCCAGCAACACCGUGUGGGCGAUGAAGGCCUUCGGGUCGUAAAGCCCUGUUGAUAGGGACGAAGGGCGAAGGGUUAAUAGCCCCUAGCCUGACGGUACCUUUCGAGGAAGCCCCGGCUAACUACGUGCCAGCAGCCGCGGUAAUACGUAGGGGGCGAGCGUUGUCCGGAAUUAUUGGGCGUAAAGAGCGUGUAGGCGGUUCGGUAAGUCUGCCGUGAAAACCUGAGGCUCAACCUCGGGCGUGCGGUGGAUACUGCCGGGCUAGAGGACGGUAGAGGCGAGUGGAAUUCCCGGUGUAGCGGUGAAAUGCGCAGAUAUCGGGAGGAACACCAGUAGCGAAGGCGGCUCGCUGGGCCGUUCCUGACGCUGAGACGCGAAAGCUAGGGGAGCGAACAGGAUUAGAUACCCUGGUAGUCCUAGCCGUAAACGAUGGACACUAGGUGUGGGGGGAGUCGAAUCCCUCUGUGCCGCAGUUAACGCGUUAAGUGUCCCGCCUGGGGGAGUACGGCCGCAAGGCUAAAACUCAAAAGAAUUGACGGGGGGCCCGCACAAGCAGCGGAAGCAUGUUCUUUUAAUUCGAUGCAACGCGAAAGAACCUUACCUGGGACUUGACAUGGGUGUUGCAAGCGCACCGGAAACGUGGUGACCUUUCGAGGGUGGCACCACAGAAUGCCUGCAUGGGUUGUCCGCCAGCUCCGUGUCCUGGAGAAUGUUGGGGUUAAGUCCCCGCAAACGAAGCGCAACCCCCUGUGGGCGGUGUUGCCAUCCGUUAAAGUUGGGGGGAUUCACCGCCAAAACUGGCCGGUUGACAAACCCGGAAGGAAGAGUGGGGGAGGAAAGGUCAAAGCUACCCGUGGGCUCUUUAACGCCCAAGGGGCUAAAAAACACUGGUUAAAAAUGGGGGUGAUAACCAAAAGGGUGUUGCAAAAACCCCCCAAGGGGGGGGGAGGGAAAUCUUUUCCAAAAAUGUUUUCUUUAAAUUUUCCGGAAAUCAUUGGUCUUGCCAACUCCCACCUCCGUGGGGAAAAGGGGGGGAUUUUUUCUUUAAAAAUACCCGGGGGAAAAC